rnacentral:rRNA from 1 species
GACGAACGCUGGCGGCGUGCUUAACACAUGCAAGUCGAGCGGUAAGGCCCUUUCGGGGGUACACGAGCGGCGAACGGGUGAGUAACACGUGGGUAAUCUACCUUCUGAUCUGGCAAAACCCGGGGGAAACCCAGGCUAACUCCAGAUAAGACCACGGGGCGGCGGCUCUGUGGGAAAAGCGGAGGAUCUCUUCGGAGACUUCGCGUCGGAAGAUGAGCCCGCGGCCCAUCAGGUAGUUGGCGGGGUAANGGCCCACCAAG